UGUGUGAUGGAUGACUAGGCUUGAGUGCCGAUGAAGGGCGUGGCAAGCUGCGAUAAGCUCCGGGUAGACGCAUGCAGUCUCUGAUCCGGAGAUCCCUGAAUAGGACUUCCUCAUGUGCUCCUUCGGGAGCGGGAACCCCCCGAACUGAAACAUCUUAGUAGGGGGAGGAUGAGAAAACAAUUGUGAUUUCCUUAGUAGUGGCGAACGAACAGGAAACAGCUCAAACUGAAUACGUGCGGUAACGCAUUGUAGAUGUGGUGUAUGGGCUUAGAUAGAUCCUACUCGACGAAGUCAAAGUGUUCUGGAAAGCACCACCAUAGAAGGUGAUAGUCCUGUAGACGCAAGUUGAGAGGAACGUUCUUUGUACCUGAGUAGCACUGAUUGGGAAUUCAGUGCGAAUAUGGGAGGCAUUAACUUCCAAGGCUAAAUACAACUCAAGACCGAUAGAGUAUUAGUACGGUGACGGAAAGUUGAAAAGACCCCCGGGAGGGGCGUUAAAAGUGCCUGAAAUCACACAGUUACAGACGGUUAGGGCGCGGAAGGGUUGAAGCAUCAGAACGAGUGCAUGGUAACAUGCAGAUAGGAUGAUGUGGACCAGCGUUCUAUGCUCCGUUUCGAAUCACGGACCGGGGAGUUCUUAUAUGUGGCGAGACUAAGACGUUAUCGUAAUCUUAGGGAAACCAAAGUGCGGGCAGCCUUCGGGCGAGCCGCUGGGUCUUAAUAGGGCCCGGAGUCACGUGUAUGAGACUAGAAACCAGAUGAUCUUUUCCUGGGCAGGGUGAAGUCAGGCGAAAGCCUGAUGGAGGCCCGCAGUAGUUAUGAUAUGCAAUUCUUUUAUCUGACCUGGGAAAAGGGGCAAUAGACCAAUCUAAUUUGGUGAUAUCUAGUUCCUUCCGAAGUAUGUUUAGCAUAGCCUCAGGGGAGACUGCUUGCGGGGUAGAGCACUAAUCGGGUGGCACGGAGGAGAAAUCCUUCACCAACCUUUUAAACUCCGAAUACGCAUGCGUCGUAGAACCUGGGAGACGGGAUGGCGUGGUUAAGCUACGUCUCCGGGAGGGGGACAACCCAGACUAAGGUUAAGGCCCCUCAAUCCUGGCUAAGUGAUAAAUCAAAGGGCGUCGUAAUCCUAAAACAGCGGGGAGGUAAGCUUAGAAGCAGCUAACCUUUAAAGAAAUCGUAACAGAUCACCCGCCGAGGAUUGGGGCCCCGAAGAUGGACGGGUCUCAAGCCAGGUGCCGAUACCUUAGGCAAUUUAAAUUUGUGGUAGGAAGGCGUCCCGCAUGGGCGGAAGCAAGGGGGUAACUUCUUGUGGACCGUGCAGGGAUUGCAGAUCCCGGUGGUAGUAACAGCAUAGUCGGGUGAGAAUCCCGAUCGCCGAAAGAGCAAGGGUUUCCAGGCAAUGCGUCGUCAGCCUGGAGUUAGCCGAUCCUAAGUGCAGCGCUAAAAUGACUGCUCGAAAGGGAAAUUGGUUAAUAUUCCAAUGCUACAGAAGUACGUAAGGUGACUUUAAGCCAACAGAUGACAGUUCGGGGAAAGUUGAGCAGAGUUGUCGCUCUGUUUAAUUGUAUAACUCUAGGGAGUACCGUAAUGGUGAGAACUAGAAGAAAGCAUGAAUAGCCUCCUGUACGGGAGGUUCAGCUGUACCCUGGACUCCGUGAAAAUUCAUGUUGGAUGGAUCUUCUGUAUUCGUACCCAGAACCAACACAGGUGCUCAGGGUGAGUAGCCCAAGGCGUGUCGGGGAAAAUCUAAGCGAGGGAAUUCGGCAAAUUAGUUCCGUAUCUUUGGUAUAAGGAAUGCCUGCUGUAUUUUCGAAAGAUGGUAUGGCAGGUCGCAGUGACUAGGGGGUUCCGGCUGUUUAAUAAAAACAUAGGUAGCCGCAAGCCCGUAAGGGUGUGUACGGCUAUUGAAUCCUGUCCAGUGGUGGUACCUGAAACCUGAUUUCAACCGGGCUAAGGGCCGCUAAACGACGGGAGUAACUCUGACUCUCUCAAGGUAGCCAAAUGCCUUGUCGUGUAAGUUACGACGUGCAUGAAUGGAUCCACGAGGACCCCACUGUCCCCGCUUAGACCCCGGUGAACCCACCUGCUGGACGAACAGUCCAGCGACUUCCAGUGGAACAAGAAGACCCCGUGGAGCUUUACUGCAGUCUGUUGCUGGGAAGUGGUUGCUUUUGCAGAGCGUAUGUGGGAGCCAAUGAUUACGAAUCUCUGGGUUCGUAGGAGGCAACAAUGGAACACCACACUCUUGUGACUUCUUCUCUGACCAAGACCUUGAUGUCUGGGACACCGGCAGAUGGGCAGUUCGGCUGGGGCGGCACCCUCUUGAAAAGGAAUCGAGAGGGCCCAAAGUCUAGCUCAGGAGGGACAGGAACCCUUCGUAGAGUGUAAAGGCAAAAGCUAGAUUGAUCGGAUAUCUAACAAUAGGAUUUCCGAAGGUGAAAGCCUGGCUUAACGAGCUAUCAUGUCCUUAUUAAUGAGGGCUGGUAGUGUCAGAAAAGUUACCCCGGGGAUAACAGGCUUGUCGCGGGCGAGAGUUCGCAUCGACCUCGCGGUUCGGUACCUCGAUGUCGACUCUUCCUAUCCUGGCCUUGCAUAAGGGGCCAAGGGUGAGGCUGCUCGCCUAUUAAAAGGGAUCGUGAGUUGGGUUUAGACCGUCGCGAGACAGGUCGGAUUUUAUUUACUGGGAGUGUUGGAUGUCUGAGGGGAAAGGGUGAUUAGUACGAGAGGAACAUCACGCUGUGGCCUCUGGUGAACCGGUUGUCUGAUAAGGCACCGCCGGGUAGCUACGCCGCGUCGGAUAAGAGCUGAAAGCAUCUAAGCUCGAAGCCGCUCCUAAAAAUAGACAUCCGUACCUUCGGGUUGGAGAGCGCCGGUAGAAGACCGGUUUGAUGGAAGUGAGGUGUAAGUGCC
rnacentral:rRNA from 1 species